rnacentral:rRNA from 1 species
UACGGAGGGGGCUAGCGUUGUUCGGAAUUACUGGGCGUAAAGCGCGCGUAGGCGGACCCUGCAAGUCGGGGGGUGAAAGCCCGAGGCUCAACCUCGGAACUGCCUUCGAUACUGCGGGUCUCGAGUCCGGGAGAGGUGAGUGGAAUUCCUAGUGUAGAGGUGAAAUUCGUAGAUAUUAGGAAGAACACCAGUGGCGAAGGCGGCUCCACUGGCCCGGUACUGACGCUGAGGCGCGAAAGCGUGGGGAGCAAACAGG